AACGAACGCUGGCGGCAGGCUUAACACAUGCAAGUCGAGCGCCCCGCAAGGGGAGCGGCAGACGGGUGAGUAACGCGUGGGAACGUACCCUUUGCUACGGAAUAGCUCCGGGAAACUGGAAUUAAUACCGUAUGUGCCCUACGGGGGAAAGAUUUAUCGGCAAAGGAUCGGCCCGCGUUGGAUUAGCUAGUUGGGGGGGUAAUGGCCUACCAAGGCGACGAGCCAUAGCUGGUCGGAGAGGAUGAUCAGCCACAUUGGGACUGAGACACGGCCCAAACUCCUACGGGAGGCAGCAGUGGGGAAUAUUGGACAAUGGGCGCAAGCCUGAUCCAGCCAUGCCGCGUGAGUGAUGAAGGCCUUAGGGUUGUAAAGCUCUUUCACCGGAGAAGAUAAUGACGGUAUCCGGAGAAGAAGCCCCGGCUAACUUCGUGCCAGCAGCCGCCGUAAUAC
rnacentral:rRNA from 1 species